UUGCCUGGGCCUCCCAAAGUGCUGGGAUUAUAGAGUGAGCCACCCACCCAACUAUAUCUGUUUAUUUAAGAAUCCCAGUACCUGGCCUGAUAGCUUAAUACCUGUAUGUUGAACUAUUAAUUCAAACUACAAAGAAGUAAAAAACAAUAGAGUUUUCUCUACCUCACAAAUGGGAGGGUUUGUAUUGAAUGUUGAAUUUAUCUUCUAGCCAAUCUUAUCUUGGAGCACAAAGCAAAAUGACCCAGCCUCCUCCGCUAUCUUCUGAACGCUUAGGCCUGAGCAGGAGGGCUGCCCCCUUGCUUUUAUGUAGCCAGCCCGCGUAUGUGCAGGGCCAAGCAUAGAGGGAGGAGGUGGUGGGACAUGGAUGGCUUCGUUUAAUUGGAAGACAGACGGUAGAUUGGAACAGGCAUUUGAAGAUUUGAGAGUUGUUGAUCAUGGGCCAGAAGAGUGCUGUUCUGUGACUGCGGAGCAGGAGGAGGAAACUGAUACUUCUGAGGGGAGAGCCUGCCGCUAAAAAGGCCUGGUCAAAUCUUCGGGUGUAUAUGGAUUGAGAACAAGCUGGCUGGCCUCAUCUGGAUGCUCCUGCGUUCUGACGUCGUGCCCAUGAUAGCAGGUCUGCACAGGCAUGGCUCUAUGUGUCCCAUGACAUGUUUGACCCUCAUGGAGGCCUCAAAAGGGCAAGACCAGCACCCUCUUCUACAGAGGAAGGAGCAGGCGCAGCAGGUGGCGAUUGUCAUUUCAGAAACAAGGACAAGAGUCAGCACUUACCAGCCAGCCGAGGUCCUGGAAGCUGACGUAGAGCUCGUGCCGACGGCAGACCUGCUGGCCGUGAGAGCCGUGGACAUCAUCUGUAGGGACAGAGGGGCAAGGUCUUUUCUGGGGUUCCUGCUCUGUGCAGCUGCUGCGGGUUACCAGGGUGGAGGACCCCCUGAUGAGCACAUUUGUCAAAUGAAUGACAGGAAACCAUUUGGUCUCAUAAAGCCCAUCCCUGGAACUCUGCUUGUACCAUGACCCAGGCUCAAGAGCCUGCCAUGGCUCCCAGUGGUUAGAGUGACACUGUGCCCAGCCCUCCCAUCCUUCAGCCUGUGAGCGUCUUGAUGCUCCAGUAAACAGCCCAGCAGGACCCUGGGCCAUCCUGUGCCGCUUUCUCCUCUCUGGAGAACCCUGUGACUCCAGCCCACCCUCUCCUGCCACACCCAUUCCUCAGGUUCAAGUGGCUGACAACCAGGCCAGUCAAGGGCCGACUCCCUGGGAAGAAGGGCACAGGGUCGGGUCAGGCCUGUCCCUGAUCCUGAAGGGCUUGGCCCAGUUGGGGAUAAAACUUCACAUAAGUAGCCGAGGGUCCUGCAGGGUGCCCGGGCACAACUGCGGGCCACAAGGGGCUGCGGCAUCCAGGGAAGGGGCAGCCGAUUCUGAUGGAGGCUUCUGGGAAAGACCUGGAGGAGCCAGGGAAGGGAGAGAAGGGGCCUUCUGGGUGGCAGGGACAGCCAGGACAGCCAGGACAGGCCUCUGGAGUGCCGAUCACCAAGGUGCAUCAGGGCAAAGAUGGUGUCAGGGAAGGGGGCUGGAGAGUGGCCAUCAGCUUGAACCGACCUGAGCCUGAGGGCUCUGGGCCACCUCCUGGUUCUCGCCCUGCCUCUCUCAGCCGGAAGCCUGCAGGGCCUCAGCCCCAGCCCGCCCGGUCCUCACCAAAGAUGCCCGGGAGCCGGCUGUCCUGCGGCAGCUCAUUGGUUUUCUUCGGCUGCCUCCUCCUCAGUGGCCUCACUGCCCGAGGGGUGCGGACGGGAUUCUGACUGGCCCUGAAGAAAGUGACCACGAAAGGCUGUCGGGAGCGCGGGGCCUGUUGGCCCAGCAGGCCGGCCAGGCCAGGAUCCACGCUGUGCCCUGAGACAGAAAGGAGAGAGGGGUCACUCAUGGGCAAUGGGCCUGCAGUGGACACAGCAGGGA